UAUACAGGGUGUAUCAUAAAAAACGGAGUCCUCGCUUCAAAUAUAAAUUUCGAAACGAAUAUUAGAGCAAAACGUUCAGCAUUACAUUCAUUUUAGAGCGUAGACAUUCAGCUUUUCAAAGGUGGGUUGUUUCGUAAAUAUAAUCCAGAAGUUCGUGAAUAAUAAUAUUUUAAGUGAUUGCGAUUGGAGAGUCAAAAAUUUGAGAUGCAAUAAGAAACCGGUAUUUGAUGAAAAUAACUUAUUUUGUCAACAAAACGAGCAAAUUGAGGCAUUUUGGCAAUUGCUUGUAAAAAUCAAGUAAUAAUGGCUUCCAAUACACUAUUUUAAAUUCACUUGCUGACUUCAAAUGCGUUAUAAUCCCGACUGAAGCGUGUUUUAGCUUUGCUAAUUUAUAUUUACAUUACGGUCCGUUUCGAUGGUGCUCGUUCGGACGAUGCAUGGACGUAAGGUUGUUUUGAUGAUUUCUGGAAAUAAUUUAGGAUUUUGAAAAAAAUAAAACAACCUAAUCUCUUUUAGAAUGUUUUUAACAAUUCUUACUAGUUUUUCUGAUGUGGCAACAAGAACAUUAAAGUUUGAACAAGAAAAUUCAAACAUUGCAACCGACUAUGGAAUAACACAGUAAAUUUGUAUAAUUAAGCGGCAUCUAAACAUGAUAGGUUUUGCUAAAUUUUCUGCUGUGCAGUUAUUACUUAAACUAAAGACACGGAUGACCAUUUGUUCGAAAGAUAAAUGAACAGGCUUUAAAAUAAGCCUAAAACCGUUUUAUUAGAAGUAGCAGUCCGAAAGUUAUUAAGCACAAAAGUUGGACUCCGAUUUUAUUGAUACACCCUGUAGGUUGAAGAUUUUACUAUGAUAUUUUGAUAAGUAUUUUAAGUCGUGAACAUAUUUUAAUAUUGAUCGAUUGAACAGCGAACCAACUCGACAAGUGCGACAACGUCUUAAAUAAACAGAAUUUGAGGGCUGGAACGAGCUACCAACGCCAACCCACACUUUUAAACCUCAAAAUCAGGACUGAUCAGUAGAGUGAAGUAAAGUGAAGACUGAUGAGUAAACUACUACGAGAAGACGAACAUUAUAUUAAAAACUGAUAGUUAUUAGAGAUUGAUUGUAAACGAUUCCCUACCUUGCGUAGAAAACGGAAUAAAAUUAUAUAUUCCUAAUACUAUAAUGCAGGCGCAUCAGGGCAUGGGCAUUACAGACUCAAAUUCGUG